rnacentral:rRNA from 1 species
AGCGUACACGGUGGAUGCCCUGGCAGUCAGAGGCGAUGAAGGACGUGCUAAUCUGCGAUAAGCGUCGGUAAGGUGAUAUGAACCGUUAUAACCGGCGAUUUCCGAAUGGGGAAACCCAGUGUGAUUCGUCACACUAUCAUUAACUGAAUCCAUAGGUUAAUGAGGCGAACCGGGGGAACUGAAACAUCUAAGUACCCCGAGGAAAAGAAAUCAACCGAGAUUCCCCCAGUAGCGGCGAGCGAACGGGGAGCAGCCCAGAGCCUGAAUCAGUGUGUGUGUUAGUGGAAGCGUCUGGAAAGGCGCGCGAUACAGGGUGACAGCCCCGUACACAAAAAUGCACAUGCUGUGAGCUCGAUGAGUAGGGCGGGACACGUGGUAUCCUGUCUGAAUAUGGGGGGACCAUCCUCCAAGGCUAAAUACUCCUGACUGACCGAUAGUGAACCAGUACCGUGAGGGAAAGGCGAAAAGAACCCCGGCGAGGGGAGUGAAAAAGAACCUGAAACCGUGUACGUACAAGCAGUGGGAGCACAGAGCAAUCUGUGUGACUGCGUACCUUUUGUAUAAUGGGUCAGCGACUUAUAUUCUGUAGCAAGGUUAACCGAAUAGGGGAGCCGAAGGGAAACCGAGUCUUAACUGGGCGUUAAGUUGCAGGGUAUAGACCCGAAACCCGGUGAUCUAGCCAUGGGCAGGUUGAAGGUUGGGUAACACUAACUGGAGGACCGAACCGACUAAUGUUGAAAAAUUAGCGGAUGACUUGUGGCUGGGGGUGAAAGGCCAAUCAAACCGGGAGAUAGCUGGUUCUCCCCGAAAGCUAUUUAGGUAGCGCCUCGUGAAUUCAUCUCCGGGGGUAGAGCACUGUUUCGGCAAGGGGGUCAUCCCGACUUACCAACCCGAUGCAAACUGCGAAUACCGGAGAAUGUUAUCACGGGAGACACACGGCGGGUGCUAACGUCCGUCGUGAAGAGGGAAACAACCCAGACCGCCAGCUAAGGUCCCAAAGUCAUGGUUAAGUGGGAAACGAUGUGGGAAGGCCCAGACAGCCAGGAUGUUGGCUUAGAAGCAGCCAUCAUUUAAAGAAAGCGUAAUAGCUCACUGGUCGAGUCGGCCUGCGCGGAAGAUGUAACGGGGCUAAACCAUGCACCGAAGCUGCGGCAGCGACGCUUAUGCGUUGUUGGGUAGGGGAGCGUUCUGUAAGCCUGUGAAGGUGUACUGUGAGGUAUGCUGGAGGUAUCAGAAGUGCGAAUGCUGACAUAAGUAACGAUAAAGCGGGUGAAAAGCCCGCUCGCCGGAAGACCAAGGGUUCCUGUCCAACGUUAAUCGGGGCAGGGUGAGUCGACCCCUAAGGCGAGGCCGAAAGGCGUAGUCGAUGGGAAACAGGUUAAUAUUCCUGUACUUGGUGUUACUGCGAAGGGGGGACGGAGAAGGCUAUGUUGGCCGGGCGACGGUUGUCCCGGUUUAAGCGUGUAGGCUGGUUUUCCAGGCAAAUCCGGAAAAUCAAGGCUGAGGCGUGAUGACGAGGCACUACGGUGCUGAAGCAACAAAUGCCCUGCUUCCAGGAAAAGCCUCUAAGCAUCAGGUAACAUCAAAUCGUACCCCAAACCGACACAGGUGGUCAGGUAGAGAAUACCAAGGCGCUUGAGAGAACUCGGGUGAAGGAACUAGGCAAAAUGGUGCCGUAACUUCGGGAGAAGGCACGCUGAUAUGUAGGUGAAGUCCCUCGCGGAUGGAGCUGAAAUCAGUCGAAGAUACCAGCUGGCUGCAACUGUUUAUUAAAAACACAGCACUGUGCAAACACGAAAGUGGACGUAUACGGUGUGACGCCUGCCCGGUGCCGGAAGGUUAAUUGAUGGGGUUAGCGCAAGCGAAGCUCUUGAUCGAAGCCCCGGUAAACGGCGGCCGUAACUAUAACGGUCCUAAGGUAGCGAAAUUCCUUGUCGGGUAAGUUCCGACCUGCACGAAUGGCGUAAUGAUGGCCAGGCUGUCUCCACCCGAGACUCAGUGAAAUUGAACUCGCUGUGAAGAUGCAGUGUACCCGCGGCAAGACGGAAAGACCCCGUGAACCUUUACUAUAGCUUGACACUGAACAUUGAGCCUUGAUGUGUAGGAUAGGUGGGAGGCUUUGAAGUGUGGACGCCAGUCUGCAUGGAGCCGACCUUGAAAUACCACCCUUUAAUGUUUGAUGUUCUAACGUGGACCCGUAAUCCGGGUUGCGGACAGUGUCUGGUGGGUAGUUUGACUGGGGCGGUCUCCUCCUAAAGAGUAACGGAGGAGCACGAAGGUUGGCUAAUCCUGGUCGGACAUCAGGAGGUUAGUGCAAUGGCAUAAGCCAGCUUGACUGCGAGCGUGACGGCGCGAGCAGGUGCGAAAGCAGGUCAUAGUGAUCCGGUGGUUCUGAAUGGAAGGGCCAUCGCUCAACGGAUAAAAGGUACUCCGGGGAUAACAGGCUGAUACCGCCCAAGAGUUCAUAUCGACGGCGGUGUUUGGCACCUCGAUGUCGGCUCAUCACAUCCUGGGGCUGAAGUAGGUCCCAAGGGUAUGGCUGUUCGCCAUUUAAAGUGGUACGCGAGCUGGGUUUAGAACGUCGUGAGACAGUUCGGUCCCUAUCUGCCGUGGGCGCUGGAGAACUGAGGGGGGCUGCUCCUAGUACGAGAGGACCGGAGUGGACGCAUCACUGGUGUUCGGGUUGUCAUGCCAAUGGCACUGCCCGGUAGCUAAAUGCGGAAGAGAUAAGUGCUGAAAGCAUCUAAGCACGAAACUUGCCCCGAGAUGAGUUCUCCCUGACUCCUUGA